GGAUGCCUUACACAUGCAAGUCGAACGGCAGCACGGACUUCGGUCUGGUGGCGAGUGGCGAACGGGUGAGUAAUGUAUCGGAACGUGCCUAGUAGCGGGGGAUAACUACGCGAAAGCGUAGCUAAUACCGCAUACGCCCUACGGGGGAAAGCAGGGGAUCGCAAGACCUUGCACUAUUAGAGCGGCCGAUAUCGGAUUAGCUAGUUGGUGGGGUAACGGCUCACCAAGGCGACGAUCCGUAGCUGGUUUGAGAGGACGACCAGCCACACUGGGACUGAGACACGGCCCAGACUCCUACGGGAGGCAGCAGUGGGGAAUUUUGGACAAUGGGGGAAACCCUGAUCCAGCCAUCCCGCGUGUGCGAUGAAGGCCUUCGGGUUGUAAAGCACUUUUGGCAGGAAAGAAACGUCAUGGGCUAAUACCCCGUGAAACUGACGGUACCUGCAGAAUAAGCACCGGCUAACUACGUGCCAGCAGCCGCGGUAAUACGUAGGGUGCAAGCGUUAAUCGGAAUUACUGGGCGUAAAGCGUGCGCAGGCGGUUCGGAAAGAAAGAUGUGAAAUCCCAGAGCUUAACUUUGGAACUGCAUUUUUAACUACCGAGCUAGAGUGUGUCAGAGGGAGGUGGAAUUCCGCGUGUAGCAGUGAAAUGCGUAGAUAUGCGGAGGAACACCGAUGGCGAAGGCAG
rnacentral:rRNA from 1 species